CAGAAAGGAAGGAAGAGAGAGAGAGAAAGAGAAGGAGAAAGAGAAAGAAAGAAGGAAAGAAAGAAAGAAAGGGAGAUCCGUCCAAACCGUCGAUAUUUUGGAGAAACCUCAAGUUUGCAGGCGAAAUUAGUUGAGGUCGGGCGUACACUGGAGUUGAGGCAUAGUCAACAGCAUGGCUUCCGCGUUUUUCUCUUUGUUUUAGGUUUUCCUUGACUACCCUUGCUAUUAGAAUUGCUCUGAUCACCUGAGGAAUUAAUGUUAUUUAAGUUGUGAUU